rnacentral:rRNA from 1 species
CCUACGGGUGGCAGCAGUGGGGAAUAUUGGGCAAUGGGCGCAAGCCUGACCCAGCAACGCCGCGUGAAGGAAGAAGGCUUUAGGGUUGUAAACUUCUUUUUAGCGGGAAGAGCAGACGACGGUACCUCUUGAAUAAGCCACGGCUAACUACGAGCCAGCAGCCGCUGGAAUACGUAGGUGGCAAGCGUUAUCCGGAUUUACUGGGUGUAACGGGAGCGUAGACGGGAAGGCAAGCCAGAAGUGAAAGGGCAGGGCUCAACCCUGUACAGGCUUUUGGAACUGUGGUGCUGGAGUGCAGGAGAGGUAAGUGGAAUUCGUGGUGUAGCGGUGAAAUGCGUAGAUAUUAGGAAGAACACCAGUGGCGAAGGCGGCUUACUGGACCGUAACUGACGUUGAGGCUCGAAAGCGUGGGGAGCAAACAGGAUUAGAUACCCGGGUAGUC